AGAACAAGCCCAGACACGUUUCUUCACGGAGUCCAAGGAAAACACUUUACUGAACUCAUAUGGGAUGGCCCUGUAAGUUGUGCAGCACUGUUGUACCAACCAAGAGUGACAUUUUAAAGCAUUACAGACUGCACCAUGGGACCUUUGGACACAGCAAUUCUUUGCCUUGCAUUCAUAUUAAUGAAGCGUUCCGAAGGUGCACUGCUGUUCCACUGGAAUCAACAUUUAUGUCACAACUGGACAGGUAUACGCCAAAACUCCUGGAGCUCUUCAGUGCAAAAGGAGGAGUGACUGCAGCGCAUCAAGAACUUGUUGAUGGAACUGAUACAGGACCCAAGUGCCUCUGCAGUGAAGAAGAGAGAUGUGACUGUGAGAUGCCUCAUAGAGUACGUGGGAGAGAGUGGACAGGAGCUAAUCUCUGACUACUCGAUGAUGAGGAGUGGCUGGCCGGCUGUCAGCACGCGUUGGCCGUGGGAAAGUUCCCCCGACCGGCGCUGAUAACCAAUCAGGGGCCGGCGGGCCGUCCCCGCACUGCAAUGAAUGGAGCAAUUGGUAGACGGGAGGUCUGCAGGCAGCGUGUGAACCUGUAAUCCAAUCCCGACUCAGCCCAGCAGCGGAGACGGGAGCGCCACCGCAGCCAGAGGAAGCUACCCACUACCACCAUCCCUCCCUGCCUGCCUCCUCACCCAAACACCCUGGAGGUUCCACAUCAUCAUCAUCAUCCUCAGAUCUAGGAUGAAGGACCCCAAACAGUUCCAUUCAGUGUUUGUAUACAACAGAAAGGGUUCGGGGGUCUCAUGUUAACGUCAUGUGACUUUUAUUAAAAAGUUAAAGUUCAAGUACCAAUGAUUGCACACACUAGGUGUGGUGAGAUUAUCCUCUGCAUUUGACCCAUCACCCUCACCACCUGGGAGGUGAGGGGAGUAGUGAGCAGCAGCGGUGGCCGCGCCCAGGAAUAAUUUUGGUGAUUUAACCCCCAAUUCCAACCUUGAUGCUGAGUGCCAAGCAGGGAGGUAAUGGGUCCCAUUUUUAUAGUCUUUGGUAUGACUUGGCCAGGGUUUGAACUCACGACCUACCGAUCUCAGGGCGGACACCUCUUCUACUUUUUUUUUUUUUUAAAGCUCCCAUUAAUGCCCUUUUAGCCUUCAUUUCAGUACUGUUAUUGCACUGGAGAAUAAUACAAUGUGUUGAUCAACUUGACAUGCAUUUGUAUCACUGAACUCUGCUAAGCAAUGUGGUCUACAUACAACACACAAAGACAAAGAUAUGUUUCAAAGGGCCAAUUUAUUUUAGGCCAGAACAAAUUGACAAAACUAUUUUAAAUAGCUGCAACAUAACAUACAUAAGUAACAAACAGCCUAAUAACAACAUAGCUGUAAACCUGGCUUCACCUAAGGAAGGCACACGUGACAUACACAAAGCCUAACCAGGCAGAUUUGAAUUGUUGUUUUGGGCAGUAGACGGGAUCUUUGAUCCAAGACACAACUUACAUUUAACUAAAAUUUUCUUUUCUUUGUGCUCCACAAAAGAAAAGAAGUGAGAAUAUCUCAUACUUGCCAACCCUCCUGAAUUUCAGUGCCUCUCCCCGGGACAACCAUUCUCCCAAAUUUCUCCCAAU